GGUUCGGGAGCCGCGCGGUGGGACGGGCGGCAAGUAUGGAACCUCACCCCUGCAUUCGUAGGCCGCGCCUCGGGGGCCCCGACCCGAGACGCG
rfam:Paracoccus saliphilus strain DSM 18447 genome assembly, contig: Ga0111667_109